rnacentral:ribozyme from 14 species
GAAAAUGAGAUAGGUAAAAGGAGAAAAAGGUGAUGUGUGUAGGCUCCUCUCUCUCUCUUGUCACUCUCUUUUUUCGUUCUUGCGUAUUUCUUUUU